rnacentral:rRNA from 1 species
AAAACUUUCAACAACGGAUCUCUUGGUUCUGGCAUCGAUGAAGAACGCAGCGAAAUGCGAUAAGUAAUGUGAAUUGCAGAAUUCAGUGAAUCAUCGAAUCUUUGAACGCACAUUGCGCCCAUUAGUACUCUAGUGGGCAUGCCUAUUCGAGCGUCAUUU